rnacentral:rRNA from 1 species
GACGAACGCUGGCGGCGCGCUUAACACAUGCAAGUCGAGCGAGAACCAGGACUUCGGUCCUGGGGACAGCGGCGAACGGGUGAGUAACACGUGGAUAACCUGCCCUCGGCACCGGGAUAGCCCGAGGAAACUCGGAUUAAUACCGGAUAGCCCUUCCGACUCUCGAGUCGGUCCGAAAAGGUAGCUUCGGCCUCUGGCCGAGGAUGGGUCCGCGGCGGAUUAGCUUGUUGGGUGGGGUAACGGCCGUACCAAGGCAUCGAUCCGUAGCUGGUCUGAGAGGACGAUCAGCCACACUGGGACUGAGACACGGCCCAGACUCCUACGGGAGGCAGCAGUGGGGAAUAUUGCACAAUGGGCGAAAGCCUGAUGCAGCGACGCCGCGUGAGGGAUGAC